GUAGAAACAGUAUGCAGCAAUGCCAUCUUAGAAAGGAGGCCACGGAAGAAGAUUAACGCUACAUACGCCACCAUUUUGUGGGCAUUUCUACUUGUGCUGUUCGUCAGUGAGGUUCUGUGUAUUGCCAGACUAAAAAAUUUGCUUAAUACACUUCAAAUAAUGUCACGUUAUCGUGAGUGGGAUCCCUCAUGUAAGGUUUAUGUUGGAAAUUUAGGGAAUAGUGCUAGUAAACAUGAAAUUGAAAGUGCAUUCAGUAAAUAUGGCCCUCUAAGGAAUGUAUGGGUUGCCAGAAAGCCACCUGGAUUUGCUUUUGUAGAAUUUGAAGACCCACGUGAUGCAGAAGAUGCAGUCAGAGGUCUAGAUGGAACACGCUGUUGUGGAACCAGAGUGAGAGUAGAGAUGUCUUCAGGAAGAAGUAGACGUGGAGGUGGGAGGAGAUCAGGUCCAAGAUAUUCCAGGUCCAGAUCUUGCAGUCCUCGAAGGAGAUCACUGGGUCGUUAUCCAAGGUCCUGGUCAAGAAGUCCACGCAGAUCGCCGAUAAGCCGAUAUUCCAGAUUCUACCAGCGUCAGCUCCUAGCUCUGCUCGUCUCCCCGCCACUACUACUACUACUGCUACUACUACUACUACAGCCACCGUGAAAAAAAGUCUAGCAAUCAAAACUGAACAAAAAAAAAGCCUGCCUGCCCACUAACUUCCCAACCAGUCACCAUCAGUCACCACCAGUCACCGGUAGGAGCCAAGUCGUCCGUCAGUUGACAGUCCGAUGCUGUCCGUCAGUCCGUCUGUUCCCCUUCAAAAAGACUUCUUCGGGCUACCUCAACCUCUAGCGGCUAGGAGCAUCGUGAAUCCAUCGAACAGCCGACGCGAUAUGAACGAAUACUUCUGUCAAAAUCUCGGCGCGUCAGUCCGUCCGUCCGUCCCAACUUCUACUACUACUACUACUACUACUACUGCUACUACUACUACUACUACUACUACUCGUCAACCAUCACGUUAAACUUAGCCGACAACGCGACCGCCACUUCUCUUCGACUGAGCAAAGCAAAAUGAUCACCACCUACACACCAUCCCACCACCACCCAACCAAGUACCACCACCACCAACCACCACUACAUGUUCACAGUUGUCUGGUCAAAGUCCCGUAGCCCUCGCAGGAGAUCGUUGAGCCGUAGCCGCAGCCGAGACCGCCGUUCUCGUUCGGAUUCCCGUGACAGACGUUAGGUGCUAAAAGUGAGAGAACGGACCGACUAAGUGUGCCGGAUGGAAGACAAAAAACCGAUUUUAUAUGUACAUAA